rnacentral:lncRNA from 1 species
CAUCACCCGAGUCUUCUGACUUCUUUUUCCACUUGCCUACUUACUAAGGCUCGGAGAGGUUAAGACAAUCGUCUAGAGUCACACAGCGGGGGUGGAAAGAUGGGCGGCGACCUCAGUCAACCGGUGGAGUGGGAUGGAGGGGACAGGAUCGGUUUCCGGGCAGGAGCUGUGUUGCAGCGGUGCCUGUUGCAUGUGGAAGUCUCCCUUCAAGGUUUGCAUCAUGGAACUCACCUGGCCCAACCUCUCAGGGAGGAAAAUUCCAACCAGAGAGGGACGUCCAGGCCAGGGCUCUACUCCGGACAGAGACCCCGUCCCUGCAAGGGACAGCCAGUCAGCCCUGUCCAGCCCCGUCCAGCCCUGUCCAGCCCUGUGCAGCCAGUCCAGCCAUUCUGACUGCAGCGUUGAAACCUCUUAUCCACGUGUGGUGGGAGCCCCCUGCUGACCAGAGUGAGGAGUGGCAGAAUGGCAGGAAGGUGAGCAGACAUGCCCUGGAGAGACUCAGGGGGCCAGUGAGUCAGAGCCCAGCUCUCCAUGCUCCUGGCUUGUGAUGUGGCCUCUCCAGGUACUCCUGCAUCUCCUGGAGGCACCAACGUUCUCAUAGCUCUCUAGGCCUCUGGACAUUUGCACCUGCUGAUGCUGAGACCCAGAGGGCCUUUUAUCAGUUAACUUCAGGUGAACUAGCAGUUAUUGUGCACCUAUUGUGUGCUGGGCACUCUGAGUAUGUGCAAGGUCUGGCCCACAAGGAGCUCACAGUUCAGUGUGGGGCAGACAUGAAGUGAGCUCACUGCAUUAUCAGGUGCGUGUCCUGUCCCCAGCCUGGCUGCCAAUACUUGAGCACCCUCCUCAGAGAAGCCUCCCCGGAUUGCCCUCUGCCCAGCCCAGCCCAGCCCAGCCCUCCACUGCCUGCUCUGCGUCCUCUGGAACAGCGUGUGUUCAGUACUGCAGGGAUGUGAGCCCCAUGCAGGCAGGGAUUCGGCCUUGUUGUACCAGUGUCUGGGACAGUGCCUGGCACAACGUAGGUGCUCCAUAAACAUUUGUGGGA